CUGACCUCUGGGGUGGGAGAGAAGCUGGAGGUUGAAUCAAUUACCAAUGGCUGAUGAUUUAAUCAAUCAUGCUUAUGUAAUAAAACCUCCAUAAAAACCCAAAAGGAUGAGAUUGGAAGAGUUUCCAGUUGGUGAACAUGUGGAGAUUUGACAAGUGGAAAUCCCACACAUGGAGAUUUAAGGAGAGUGGUGCUCUCAGAGAGGGCAUGGAAGCUCUGCGCUCCUUUCCAUAUUCCUCACCAUAUGCAUCUCUUCCAUCUGGCUGUUCCUGAGUCAUAUCCUUUUAUAACAAACUGGUAAAUCAAUUCUGGAAGAUUCAGCUCCUCGGAGGCCUCCCGUCUUCUUGGAACAGUCUUCUUUCUACAACCUCACCUCUGAGCAACAGCUUAAGCAUCACUUCCUCCAGGAGAUCGUCCCUGCCGUCUGGAAUAGAGAAGUCCUCUGAUUAUACCUUAGCAGAACCCUCUGGACUUCCCCCGGCAAAAGCUCGUCAGCCAUUACUGUGAUCACUUACCCUGCCCUGUCCUUCUUGCCCGGCUAUACACCCAAUGAGGGCAGGGCGACCUCAGCCCUGCUCCCUGCUGCACCUCCAGGGUCUGGCAGAUGGCCUUGAACGUAAUAGCUGCUCACCAGCCACACAUUGAAUGGAUGAACAUCAUCGUUGUGGUCCCUCAAUGCACUUUGCAUUUACCUUUAACUUUGUAGAGUAUAUAGAUGUUUGUUUUUAAACUGACAAUUGAAAUUUUGCAGAAAGUUAAAUUCAAAUGAUUUUCUAAGGGGGUUAAAAUUGGGAACUCCAGGUUCUUGACUGCCAGGAGUCUUUCUAGGGGGGGCUGGCUGUUUCACGACCUGAGCGGGACCCCUCAUUGUUCUUAGAUUUUCCUUGGUCGUCCAGGGUUCCUGUUCUCCACCCUUGGCCCACGUCUUGCCAUCUUCAGAAACUCUAUAUGGAAGCUCAGGCAGCCCCUUGUAUUGGUUUGAGUUGGCAGCCUUUUGGUCACCAGAUCUUUGCUUGCUAGUUUGGUUUUUUUUUUUAACAUGCGAAUGUUAUAUUUGGUUGAUCUGUGGUUAAACACUUCUUGAAAGUUUCAGACCUCAGCUUCUUGGUGAUCUCAUAAAGUUUCCACAGACUGUGUGUCAUUCACAACCUAAGGAUCUGGAAGGAAGCCCUACUUUAAACUGCAGUUCCCAGGGAUUAAAGCUUGAAAGGUGAUAUGUCUGUUUUCCUAACAUCUCAAAGUCAGUGGAAUGUGCACUGGCAAUAUUUCUAGACCAGACUUCUGCGAACUGGCUCAUUUGUCUAAGAGACACAGUUAAGUCAAAGACACUAAAAUCUCAAGAAGCCUCUUGGCUACUCCAUUUCAGCUAUACAGAUGGCUGCUUUGGAGACUGGCACGUGCAUUAGCUGAGAUAAACCGGCAUAUGUCCUGGAAGAAAAGGAUUGUCCAACUAAUAUUAGAAGCAAAGCUUCUGAGAAUGUCGUUAAGAAUAUCAUAAAUGCUGUAAGUGGUCAGGCCAUUAUUGGUUGAUACAGCUCAACAUCCAUUCAUUCAUUCAACAUGCAUUUCCUGCAUAGGAGCUAUGGGCCAGGCUCUGUGCUAAACCCACAUGAAUAAGACACAAUCUUUGUCCAGUUGGACAGACAAGCAAUUACAGCGCAGUAGUGGAGGUGUUCCACUGGUGGAAGGAGUGACCACUCUUGACCUGGAAGAAUUAGGGGGGCUUCCUAGAAGAGGCUCCAUUUGAACUGGGUCCUGGAGAAUGACUGGUAGCUCACCAGUCUCAGAAGAGAAUGGCAAGGAGACCUCAAGGCAACAGUGUGGCAAAGGUAGAG
ensembl:lncRNA